CUACGUCUAUACAUACUGCCUGCACUUUUUCCUGAAGUGCAUUAUAAACCUGAUAGAUAGCCCUGAUGUCCUUCAUCACUCCAUCUUUGUCAAAAAAAUCAGUACCGUAUUCCUUAAUAACUUUGGCAUAAUUCUGAGAAGUAUUUGGCACUGAAGAAACUUUGUAUUCCUGUUGACUAGUGUUGCCUAGAUUAGGAAUAGCAAGGGACACCCUU
rnacentral:lncRNA from 1 species